ensembl:snoRNA SNORD22 Small nucleolar RNA SNORD22
UCCCAAUGAAGAAAUUUUCACACGUCUUACUCUCUGUCCUAGUCCCAGAGCCUGUAAAGGUGAACCCACUGGGACUGGCUGGGGGAGAAGAGGAAGGUUUGUUCCAGAAGGAACUGUCUGAGGGAC